rnacentral:lncRNA from 1 species
GUGUGUCCAGAAAGCAGUAGAAGUAUCUGGGAGGUACAGUGUGCGUCCUACAACAACAAGCCGUUCAUGGGCCGGUUUUAUGAAUGGGAACCAUUUGCAGAAGUCAAGGGCAAUCGGAAAUGUGAGCUGAAUUGCCAGGCCAUGGGCUACCGCUUCUACGUCCGGCAAGCUGAGAAGGUCAUUGAUGGUACCCCCUGUGACCAGAAUGGCACCGCCAUCUGCGUGUCUGGGCAGUGCAAGGUGAGUGCCCCAGAACUGGGGUAUCUGGAGUGGGUCUCGGAGGUGUCUGAUCUGUGACUUCCGACUGCACUGGUUGCCAGGCUGUGGCAUGCUUUCUCCCCACAAGCCUUGGUCCCCCCUACUCUGAAUUGUGAGCUCCGGGAAAAGGGGGUAGGAUGGGUCGGCUUGUUCUGCUCUGUGGUUUUGAUCUCUGGGAAUUGCCAAGUCUCACAAUGGCAUUUUGCUUAUUAAGUGAUUUACAUUUACAUCAUGUGCAUCCUAACAAACUCCGAUCUUUCCUCGUUGGCUGGAGCUCCUACCUCUGGAGUUGAGGUUAUGAAGAGGUCACUGCUGGAUCAGUCAAGAAACAGUUGGCAUCGUCAGGGUGGCAUUUUAAGGGCACAGCAUAUUUUAUCUCGCCUCCCACCAGCUAGGGCAGGCUUCCAAAUCAAAGUUGUCUAGCGCCUUUAUGACAGAAGUUGUACUUUCAACAGGAAGUUCUCAGCCUCCUUGGAUUUCUGAAGUCUGUUCCAGGAACUCCCCACCCUGCAUUCUACAAACACUCUGGGCUGGGGAGAAUCCUUGCAGGAUGCUGCCCUUUGAUAGAAAGCACCAUUUGGGGGAGUUCCCUUCAUAUCUCAGUGGUUAAUGAACCCAAUUAGUAUCCAUGAGGACAUGGGUUCAAUCCAUGAUUAACAGUGUGACCUCGUAUGAGUUCUGUAAGCUCUCUGUACCUCUGCAUCAUCUACAACCUGUGGACUUACAAAAUAUGCACAACUUGGGAGUUCCCUGGUGGUCUAGUGGUUAGGAUUCAGAGCUUUCACUACUGUGGGCAACAGCCUCUGAAGGCAGAAUUUCAGAUGGCUCUGAAAGGCUGCUCCAAAGAGGUAGGGGGGAAAUGUCAGAAUAUAUGUGAUUUUGGUGAAGAGGGAGGUGCAUGCAACCAAGCACACAUUUUUACAGGAAGUUUGCUGCUAGUCUCGUGAGAUUACUGCUAGUCAAGAGAAGCAGACAUCACCAUGAAGGAUUUUAGUGCUUUUCUGGGUAUGAGGAGAUGUAAGAAUUGGGCUCAUAAAAUCUUCUCCUGAAACUAUCUAACUAUCUACUAGUCUUCCCAAAGCACAGAGUGCCUCACUCCUGAUUCCCGCCCUGAGCUCUUUCAGGGGGUGUUGAGAGUCGGCAGCUGCAGUGGCUUAUGAUUCAGUCUGUGUAGAGGCAGAUGGCAAGGGCCAGUCUCCAGGUCAGGAACACAGGGUGGAUGAUACCUCCCUCCUGCAUUGUAGUGAAGAGUCAUGAGCUAAUUAAUACAUGGAAGGUCCUCCUCCCAGGUCUGGCACUAGUAAAGGACACUGGCUUUUCUUAUAUGAUGUUUCUUUAUGUCUACAUACACCUGUUGUAUUUGAAUUUUCUAUGCAAGAGUAUUUGAGAGGUUUUUUGGCAGGUUACAAAUUCGUGAGAGUCACAUUAUCUUUUGAGGCUGUGUUCUCACACUGCAGUGUGAAUCAUGGCAGACUCUGCAUUGGUAGGUCUGGGAAAGUGUCUGAGUCAUCUACGUCUCUAACAAGCUCCCCUGUGAUGCUGAUGCUGCUGGUCCACGGAUCACACUUUGUGCCACAAAGUUUUAAAAGAUGCUUUGAUUAAAAUACAGUCCACAAAGAACUAGAAAUGUAAAUAUAGAGAGGUGAGAUGGGUUGGAAGGAAGACGCAAUAUCAUCUCUUUCCAUUGGGGGAGCUUCUUUUCUUAGUGUUGCAUUGUCUUUGAGGUGAGGAGAUGAAAAAAAAAAAAAAAAAAAA